rnacentral:rRNA from 1 species
UACGUAGGGUGCAAGCGUUGUCCGGAAUUAUUGGGCGUAAAGAGCUCGUAGGCGGCUUGUCACGUCGACUGUGAAAACCCGGGGCUCAACUCCGGGCCUGCAGUCGAUACGGGCUGGCUUGAGUGCGGUAGGGGAGACUGGAAUUCCUGGUGUAGCGGUGAAAUGCGCAGAUAUCAGGAGGAACACCGGUGGCGAAGGCGGGUCUCUGGGCCGAUAUUGACGCUGAGGAGCGAAAGCGUGGGGAGCAAACAGG